UACGUAUGUGACAAGCGUUGUCCGGAUUUACUGGGCGUAAAGAGCGCGCAGGCGGUCGUUCAAGUCGAGUGUGAAAGCCCCCGGCUCAACUGGGGAGGGUCAUUCGAUACUGAUCGACUCGAAGGCAGGAGAGGGUAGUGGAAUUCCCGGUGUAGUGGUGAAAUGCGUAGAUAUCGGGAGGAACACCAGUGGCGAAGGCGACUACCUGGCCUGUUCUUGACGCUGAGGCGCGAAAGCUAGGGGAGCAAACGGG
rnacentral:rRNA from 1 species